CUCUAGUUAUCCAUGGAGCGAUCUGCGUCUUCUCUAGCCGAAUCAGACAGUGAUGCCAUCGGGAGGUGAUCUAGAGAGAUUGGUCCUCCUCUUCUUGCGGCUGAGUGGGGAAUUCGGUUGAAGAGGUUGAGACCAGUGAGUGGUGCUUGGGCUGUAGGGCAGAGACUUCAGGUGUUGAUGCUUGAUCAGUAGUCUUCCUGCUUGAUUCCACUGUGAUCCAAUUGAUUUCCAGUGAGGUUGAGUGUCCUGUGGAUCUGGAAUUGUGGUUCCGGCAGCACCUCAACCAGUAGCUCCUUUGGUUUCAACAAUCAACAGCGGUUGCUAAUUGAGGAUCCUGUCUGGUCCAGCAGAUCACUUUGUUUUCCAACAGCUCAAUUGAGUGAGGUUCUGUUGCUGUGAUGCUGGAGUUGUGAUCUUUGAGGUGUAUCCAGCAGCUUUCCCUAACCGGCAGCAACACCUUUGAUUGUGAUCUACUGGUGAUCACCUUAGAU